rnacentral:lncRNA from 1 species
AUGCCCAGGCGGGACCCCGCAGUGCCCCGGUCUGGCUUGGACCUUAGCAUUGGGAAGCUGAAUCGUCACUGUCCUCUACUCUCCCGAGACCCACUGAAAAUGAACAUAUCUGAGCACUUGAAAUCAUGUAGCUUUCUUCUUACUUGUGCAAGAAUUACCUGCAUGGAUCCUACAUUAUGGAAAAUCUGCAAAGAUGUUCCUUGUAUGUUUUGAAGGUCUUGGAUUCAUGCUUAAGGACUGACAAGCAGCUGCAAUAAUGAGGUGUAAUAAAUCAGGUGCUGAGCUCAUGGCAGGAGUUACAAAUUAUUCAAGACUUUCACACAGAAGCUUGGACUAAGAAUAUUCAGGUAAUGCUGCAAUCAAUCACAAAGUAGAAAAACUGCCUCAGUCUGCCAAAUGAAAUCAGAGAAGGCUAUCUCAGAACCUUGCCAAGUGACCUUGUGGUAGGUG